rnacentral:rRNA from 1 species
GUGGGGAAUAUUGCACAAUGGGCGCAAGCCUGAUGCAGCAACGCCGCGUGAGGGACGACGGCCUUCGGGUUGUAAACCUCUUUUAGCAGGGAAGAAGCGAAAGUGACGGUACCUGCAGAAAAAGCACCGGCUAACUACGUGCCAGCAGCCGCGGUAAUACGUAGGGUGCAAGCGUUAUCCGGAAUUAUUGGGCGUAAAGAGCUCGUAGGCGGUCUGUCGCGUCUGCUGUGAAAACUGGAGGCUCAACCUCCAGCCUGCAGUGGGUACGGGCAGACUAGAGUGCGGUAGGGGAGAUUGGAAUUCCUGGUGUAGCGGUGGAAUGCGCAGAUAUCAGGAGGAACACCGAUGGCGAAGGCAGAUCUCUGGGCCGUAACUGACGCUGAGGAGCGAAAGCGUGGGGAGCGAACAGGAUUAGAAACCCUAGUAGUCC